UUUUUAUUUUUUAUAAUGAUUUCUACUUUUUCCAUUAUAGCUGAUUUACAGUUUUCUGUCAACUUUCUGCUGCACAGCAAGGUGACCCAGUCACACAUACAUAUAUACAUUCUUUCUUCUCACAUUAUCAUGCUCCAUCACAAGUGACCAGACACAGCAGGAUCCCAUUGUUCACCCAUUCCAAAGGCUAUACUUUGCAUCUAUUAACCCCAAGUUCCUAGUCCAUCCCACUCCUUCUCCCUCCCUCUUGGCAACCACAAGUCUGUUCUCCAUGUCCAUUGAUUUUCUUUUCUGUGGAAAGGUUCAUUUGUGCUCUAUAUUAGAUUCCAGAUAUAAGUGAUAUCAUAUGGUAUUUGUCUUUCUGACUUACUUCACUUAGUAUGAGAGUCUCCAGUUCCAUCCUUGUUGCUGCAAAUGGCAUUAUUUGGUUCUUUUUUAUAGCUGAGUAGUAUUCCACUGUGUACCUAUACGGCAUCUUCUUAAUCCAAUCAUCUGUAAAAUGGACAUUUAGGUUGUUUCCAUGUCUUGGCUAUUGUGAAUAGUGAUGCAGUGAACAUGCAGGUGCGUGUGUCUUUUUCAAGGAAAGUUGGGUCCAGAUACAUGCCCAAGAGUGGGAUUGCUGGGUCAUAUGGUAGUUCUAUGUAUAGAUUUCUAAGGUACCUCCAUACCUCCAUCGUGGUUGUACCAGCUUACAUUCCCACCAACAGUGCAGGAGGGUUCCCUUUUCUCCACACCCCCUCCAGCAUUUAUUUGUGGACUUACUAAUGAUGGCCAUUCUGACUGGUGUGAGGUGGUACUUCACAGUAGUUUUGAUUUGCAUUUCUCUAAUAAUCAGGGAGGUUGAACAUUAUUUUGUGUGCUGUUGGCCAUCUGUAUAUCUUCCUUGGAGAAAUGCCUAUUCAGGUCUUUUGCCCAUUUUUCCAUUGGACUGUUACCUUUUUUCUGUUGAGUUGUGUAAGCUGUUUGUAUAUUUUAGAGAUUAAGCCCCUUGUCAGUUGCAUCAUUUGAAACUAUUUUCUCCCAUUCUGUAAGUUGACUUUUUGGGGUUUUUUUGUGGUUUCCUUUGCUGUGCAGAAGCUUGUCAGUUCGAUUAGGUCCCAUUGGUUUAUUUUUGCUUUUAUUUCUGAUGCUUUGGGAGACUGACCUGAGAAAACAUUUGUAAGGUUGAUGUCAGAGAAUGUUUUGCCUCUGUUUUCUUGCAGGAGUUUGAAGGUGUCUUGUCUUACAUUUAAGUCUUUCAGCCAUUUUGAGUUUAUUUUUGUGCAUGGUGUGAGGGUGUGUUCUAGUUUCACUGAUUGCAUGUACAGCUGUCCAGGUUUCCCAGCAAGACUUGCUGAAAAGGCUUUUUCCCCAUUUUAUGUUUUUGCCUCCUUUGUCAAAGAUUAACUGACCAUAGGUGUCUGGGUUUCUUUCUGGGUUCUCUCUUCUGUGCCACUGGUCUGUAUGUCUGUUUUGGUACUGGUACCACACUGUCUUGAUGACUGUGGCUCUGUAAUAUUGCCCGAAGUCUGGGAGAGUUAUGCCUCCUGCUUGGUUUUUGUUCCUCAGGAUUGCUUUGGCAAUUCUGGGUCUUUUGUGGUUCCCUAUAAAUUUUUGGAUGGUUUGUUCUAGCUCUGUGAAAAACGUCAUGGGUAAUUUGAUAGGGAUUGCACUGAAUCUGUAGAUUGCUUUGGGUAGUAUGGCCAUUUUUACAGUAUUAAUUUUUCCAGCCCUGGCAUGUUUUGGAAGAAGAAAUGCUCCCCUCUGAUUUCUCUGACACAGUCACCUGAACAAGCCAGAGAAAUUUACAAUUUCUGAAUGAGACAAAUACCCAAAGCCAACUCAAUGCACUCAUGAUGGGACAGACCUAGUAUGCAGAGCAUACCUGCCCAGUGUCAAGACACUGGACACAAAAUUCUAACGACAAUAGUAACUACAAGGAACUUACUAGCUGCCAAUCACUGUUUUAAGGGCUGCUGAUGAACCAACUCACAACAAAUCUAUGAAGUGACUGUUAUUAAUACUCUCCCCAUUUUCAGAGGAGGACACUGAGGCACAACAGGAAAGGCAGAAACUGGCCCACAGCCCAACACGUGCAGGAACUGGAAACACCAGGAUUCAAACUCGGAUCUAACUCCAAAUCCCAUACCCGCUCUGCUGCCUCAUGGUUUGGAUGGUGGCUCUUCCUUUGUUUGUAUGUUUGUUUGUUUGCUUUUUAGGGCUGCACCUGUGGCAUACGGAGGUUCCCAGGCGAGGGGUCAAAUCGGAGCUACAGCUACCAGCCUACACCACAGCCACAGCAACGCUGGAUCCGAGCCACAUCUGCAACCUACACCACAACUCACAGCUACACCGGAUCCUUAACCCACUGAGUGAGGCCAGGGAUGCUAGUCAGGUUCAUUAACUGCUGAGCCAUGGGAUCAAACCCGCAACCUCAUGGAGGCUAAAUGAGUCCCAUACAGCUGAGCAACAACAGGAACUCCAUGUUCGUAAGCCAUUAUUUCUGCAAGGCAAACUAUUCAAAAGAUACGUUCGCUUCCCUACAAGCCAGCCUGACUGACGGACUGGGGAAUUAUUUUAUUUUUUUAUUUUUUUGUCUUUCUGUCUUUUUAGGGCCGCACCCACAGCACGCGGAGGUUCCCAGGUGUGUUUCAAAAGACAAAGAGAAAAAAAAAAAAAAAAAGAAAAGAAAGAAAGAAAGAAAGAAAGAACUGAAAGGAGAAUAACUGAGCCACUGGGCAAGUGUAAGGAAUUUAAUGCCAUGAUAUUCAACACUUGAAUAUCAUGGUUGAGCACCUGCCAUGAUACACAUCUCUCGUUGGGGAAACUUGGUGAGAGAAAAACAAGAAGGGGUGAGGUAGAGAGUGAGGCCGUGCCGUCUGCGCUCCAGCCCCCCGCCACUGCCUGCAAACCAUACAGCCCACUACCCAAAGUCGGUGCCCCCAGCAUGGACCCUUAGCGGGUGAUAAUAAACAAAUGCUUACGAAUGACCAGCCUCCAAGCUUUUACGUCUGUGAAUGUAGGGGAGUGAUCCGUCUCUUGCCCAUCCACACCCUCAGGGCAUUGCAAGGAUCAAACAAGACCUGUAACAGACUCGAGUAGCUUCAAACCCCACAGAGCUAUCUCAAGAAGGAGUAGCAUUAUAAAAAGGCCGUGACAAGGACACACAUUGGGCAUCUGGCACCCUGUAUUCAUUCCGCCUUCAUAACAGCACCCAGAUUUCAUUUGGAAGGUUUGUAUCUUCCUCACUGGGGACUCUGCUGGUGGGAUGACAAUGAACCCUUCGCACCACAUAAGCCAAAGAGGUCCCAGGAAGCUGCUUCAGCCAAUCCUUCUGCGGGUGGCCAGGAGGCCACAUGACCUGAGACUAACCAAUCAGGUGCUUCCUCCCUGGAAAGUCAACCUUUUUGUUUGUUUGUUUUUUGUCUUUUUAGGACCGCACCUGCAGCAGAUGGAGGUUCCCAGGCUAGGGGUCUAAUACUAGCUGUAGCUGCUGGCCUAUGCCAGAGCCACAGAAAUGCAGGAUCCAAGCCGCAUCUGCAACCUACACCCCAGCUCACGGCAACACCCGAUCCUUAACCCACUGAGUGAGGCCAGGGAUCGAACCUGCAACCUCAUGGUUCUCAGUCCGGUUUGUUAACCACUGAGCCAUGAGGGGAACUCCUGGAAAGUCAACCUUAAGCAGAAUGAGAGCGAGUCAAAAACAGCUGGCGUUCACUUCAGCAGCAGGGCCUGGACGGGCCCGUCCCUGCUAGGAAACCAUUUUGUGGACACUGGUUCCAACUUAGGAGACUUUCCAAAGUUGUUCUGGCUCCUUGUUUCCAAAUCUGACCUGCCAUCAGUUCCACGAGCUCCCAAUAUCCUCAACUGGAGUAAAUUUCUACGCUUGUUACCAGAGAGCCCUGGCACAUACACCAGUGCAUCAGCCUUUCCAAGGUUCUGUUGACUUUAAAAAAAAAAAUGGAGAGUUCACGUGGCUCAGCGGUAAUGAAUCCGACUAGUACCCAUGAGGAUACUAGUUCAAUUCCUGGCGUUGCUCAGUGGGUUAAGGAUCUGGUGUCGCUGUGACCUGUGGUGAGGGUGCAGAUGCAGCUCAAAUCCUGCGAUGCUGUGGCUGUGGUGUGGGUCAGCAGCUGCAGCUCCAAAUCAACCCCUAGCCUGCGAACUUCUAGGUAUGACCCUAAAAAGGUAAACAAAAAAAAAAAAGGUGCAACCCGAGAGAUAUGUUUUCUUCAGCAGACAUUCAAAGGACUUCCAGCCCAGGACAGAGCAUCUCAGUUAACAGUGAGAAACUGUUUCAAAGAGGAAGAGGGGGGCAGGAAGGGGGCGCAGGUUACUUAGUUUUUGCGACAAAACCAGGGGUUGGAACAUCUAAAGAUUACUAUUAGUAAAAGAAAACCAGAUAUCUCAACUUACGGAAUUGAGAGCUUGUCUAUGGGAAGAUGUAAGAGUCUGGGCUCACUGGAAUCUUUCCUCUGGCAGGCCCCGCAGACGCUAGAGGCCAGCAUCCUGUGCUUUCACAUCCCGAGUCCCCUCAGCUUGCCCCUUCUGUGUGACUGCAGCAGCUGACUGCUGGAGGCAGGCAUCGUGUUUCUAGCCUGAGCUCCCUCAGGGUGCACCACUGGGGCAGCUGUAAUGUGGUGGCUUGAUGGCGGCAGCACCCUUUGUUUACUGACAUAGUGGCAAUAUUUCACUUCCCGGUUCCUACUGAUAGGAAUCCAACCAGCUGGCCUCUUCAGCUGCAACCACAAGCCCAACGCUCACAGUCCUGCCUACAACUUUUUCUAAGACAAGACAAUAAAUUCGAAAUGGCGUUCAAAGAUAACACUUGAGGACGCAGGUUCGAUCCCUGGCCUCACUCAGUGGGCAAUUAUAGCUCUGAUUUGACCCCUAGCCUGGGAACUUCCAUAUGCCAUGGGUGCAGCCCUAAAAAGACAAAAACAAAACAAAACGAAACAAAAAACUGUAUCCCAUCGUGGCUCAGUGGAAUCGAAUCUGACCAGUAUCCAUGAGGAUGCAGGUUUGAUCCUUGGCCUCACUCAGUGGGCCGUGAGCUGUGGUUUAGGUCACAGACGAGGCUCAGAUCUCACAAUGCUGUGGCUGUGGUGCAGACCAGCGGAUAUAGCUCCAAUUCAGCCCCUAGCCUAGGAACCUCCAUAUGCCACAGUGUGGCCCUAAAACGACAAAAAAAAAAGAAAAAUCUCUUCCAAUUAUCCAUCUCUUAGUAUUAUCAUUAGUAGUAUUUUUUUUAAUUUUUUGUCCUUUUACCACUGUACCUGUGGCAUAUGGAAGUUCCCAAGCUAGGGGUCAAAUCGGAGCUGCACCAGCCGGCCUACACCACAGCCACAGCAAUGCCACAUCCAAGCCACAUCCUGCAGCAACACUGGAUCCUUAACCAAGUGGAUGAGGCCAUGGAUCGAACCCGCAUCCUCACGGAUACUAGUCGGGUUCUUAACCCACGGGCCAUUUGGGAACUCCUAUUAGUAGUAUCUCUUAGUUGCUAGACUCCUGGAGGAUAGUGACGGGGGCAGACACACAUACAGGAAGUCCCAUUUUCCAUAUGUUCAGAAUCACAUGGGAAGAAACCCUCACCUUCAACUGUUCCUCUGAGAGUACAAGAGAGAUCGACAAGGCUCACUACCCCACAUCAGCCCUUCCAUUUGUGGUUCAGCACCUGCCUUGGCAGGCAGCCUGGGCCGGUAUCACAAGCUGAGUGAUGAGAGUCCCAGCCAGACUGCACUCCCUUAUAAGAGAUGCAACUAACAAUCCCGCAUGGCUGGCACCUUCAUAUCCUGGCCCAGGAUCUGCUUCAUUUUCACCAGUGGCACAGCAGAUGGGAUUCUGGUCACCUUUCCCGGUAUGUGGGUUUUCGAAGAGCAUCAAGCGAUCCUCUGACACCAGCUGGUUGUGUCCUACAAUUCAACUCACUUCUGACACUGUCUACCUAGAGACAGCAUUGGAUGCUGCAGGUGAAGGGCUUAGUCCCACAAGACAGCACCUCCCCCCACCACCAACCCUUCAGACGCCGGUCACAGGUCCAGGCUGUCGCCUGUGCUUCUGACUGACUAGCUAUAUGUCUUGGAGGUUCCCACAGCCUCCUCCUUGGGCUCAGUUAAUCUGCCAGAGCGGCUCCCAGAAAUGAAACACCAUGCUUACCAGAUUCGACCCCUGGCCUGGGAACUUCCAUUGCCCUGAAAAGCAAAAAAAAAAAAAAAAAAAAGAACAUGUCGUCUCCCAGACAUGAACCACAGUCUUGUGGUUGCCAAGUGGGAAAUGGGAGGGAGUGGGAUGGACGGGGAGUUUGGGGUUGGUAGGUAUAAACUAUUGCAUUUAGGAUGGAUAAGCAAUGAGGUCCUGCUGCACAGCACAGGGAACUAUAUCCAGUCACUUGUGACAGAUCAUGAU
rnacentral:lncRNA from 1 species